UUUUUUCAGACAUAUUUGACAUUAUGAAGAAAAACAAUAUACGAUUAAAAUUACAAUAUAUUAACUUAUUAUGUACCAAAAAAAUGUACUUCCAUGGCCUUUGUCAUUUCUAACAAAGUCAACAAACACAUCACAACUCUUGAACUCUGAGCUUUCAGUGAAUACGACAUGAGGGGGGCGUUCAGAUGGACUCUUCUGGUGAACACGGUAAACACCACGACAUCUGAGGG